UAUGUUGCAGGAUUUCCCCUGUCCAAUCACAUUAGGGCAGCAGGAGGUCUGUGAUUGGACAGGGAAAAGGAAGGUGGAGCUAAGAGUUGCAGAGACAGAGAGCGUAGGAGAGGGAGGAAGAGGGAAGAUGGCGGCGGCCGUGAACCAGCGUGGCCUUAACCAGCCAUAGUUAUGAUAUUAUAAGGCUCCUUUCCAUGUAGACCUGUGGGUGUCUGCCUGACCUGUAGUCUGAAGAUGCUCUUUCUGAAGUCUUAGGAGGGCCCCUCAGUGAGGAUGCCCGAAGCUGAAGGCUUUACUUCUGUUUCAAGAGGAUCCAAGCGGCUCCCAGCACCCACGCCAGGUGGCUCCCAAGGACGUGUAACUUCCCUUCCAGGGGAUCCAUUGGGAAGCAGAGGUAGACGGAUUUUUGAGUUCGAUGCCAGCCUGGUCUACAGAGUGAGCUCCAGGACAGCCAGGGCUACACAGAGAAACCCUGUCUCGAGAAACCCCAAAAGAGAUAAAGACGAAAGCCCAAAGAGCCUCUGGCAUCCAUAUUGGACUGGAUGUGUCAUCACUAUCACCAUCAUCAACACCACCACCACCACCAGCAGCAGCAGCAACAAAGAUAAACUCACUUGUUAGAGUGAAGACUAACAGGAUUACCAGAAGGAGCCACCUACUCAGGGCAGUGAACAAGACGUGUGGUCUGAAGAUACACAACACCGAGACAGGACUGUGUGGUGCUCACAUGCCACGAGCAGAGUUCAAACAGCAUCCAAGCCCUAAAGACCAGAGCCAUGGACCAAUAUGGUGGAUGGCAUGUGUGCGCUUGUUCCAGAAGUGCUACUCAUCAUGGAGGCAAAUCCUGUGAGGACGUGGAAGACUUCACCUGGUUUCUCCGCUUUCCUCCCGGUGACACGGGGGAUACUUCGGGCAGAUACUGAACUGUCUGCUGCCAUUUACAGCCACAGUUACAUGGGAUUGUUUGUUCCUUCCCUGGGCUUCUACCUCUUCCUUGACUGGAACAGAAGCUAAGAGAGAGGGGAGGAAGAGGAAGAAAGGAGGAGGAGGAAGAGAGGAGGAAGAAGAGAUAGGGGAGGAAGGUGAGAAGGAGGAGGAAGAGGAAGGAAGGAGGAGGAGGAAGGGCUUGACAUGUGUUUGAGUCACAGCCCACUCCAUGAAUUCUAAGACUUUGCAGACAUAGCUGAAGUUGGAGUCUCUGGAGCUUAAAAUACACCCAGAGUAAACAGUGUUUAGCUACGUUUUACGAAUGGAAACAUUCCCACCCAGAGGGAGGAAGGAGGUUUAUGGCUAAAGAUAACCACAAGCUCAGAACACAAAAGGAAUGAGAGUUACAAGACACAGGAGGCUCCCCCGCUCAUAAUGCAGCAAGCAAUAAAUCAUGAUGGGAAGAGUCCUUGGGAGCUGCCUGCAAGUUGGGCUUAGACAUUAGCGCUCAGACCAGCAGGAUGACUCAAGGAAGGACCGAAGCCUGUCUUAGAUGAUAAGGGAGACUCUGGACUUGAAUCCUGGGCAUUAGCAGGACAGUUGGGAGCCUGAAAGAUAUUUGAAUAAGGGGCUGGCGAAAUGGCUCAGUGGUUAAGAGCGCCGACUGCUCUUCUGAAGGUCCCGAGUUCAAAUCCCAGC
rnacentral:lncRNA from 1 species